AACAAUCCUUAGAAAAACUCUGAUACCUUCACAAAUGGUUUCAGCAAAAUGAAUUAAAUCAUUAAAGUUUGCUGAAAAUAUGUAUAUCAUAAUCCUCUUUGUUGAAUCUUGGGCAUAAUUCUACUAGUUCUCUACAAACCUAAAUUCUUUAAGCUUUAAAGAUAUAUUUCAUGAACACUCAAAUAUUUUAUUAACAUAAAAAAGGAAG
rnacentral:lncRNA from 1 species